GAUGAAGAACGCAGCGAAAUGCGAUACGUAAUGUGAAUUGCAAAUUCAGUGAAUCAUCGAGUCUUUGAACGCACAUUGCGCCCCCUGGUAUUCCGGGGGGCAUGCCUGUCCGAGCGUCAUUGCUGCCCUCAAGCACGGCUUGUGUGUUGGGCCCCCGCCCCCCGGCUUCGGGGGGCGGGCCCGAAAGGCAGCGGCGGCACCGCGUCCGGUCCUCGAGCGUAUGGGGCUUCGUCACCCGCUCUGUAGGCCCGGCCGGCGCCCGCCGGCGACCCCAAUCAAUCUUUCCAGGUUGACCUCGGAUCAGGUAGGGAUACCCGCUGAACUUAAGCAUAUCAAUAAGCGGAGGA
rnacentral:misc_RNA from 1 species